rnacentral:tRNA from 1 species
GCGAUCAUGGUGGAAUUGGUAGACACGCUAUCUUGAGGGGGUAGUGCCGUUAUGGUGUGCGAGUUCAAGUCUCGCUGAUCGCACCA